rnacentral:lncRNA from 1 species
UGCCGCCGGACGCUGUGCCGCCACCGUUCACCCCGACCAAGUCCCGACGCCGCCUCGAAGGCUGGUUGUUGUGCCACCCCCGCGAAGCCGUAGCCAUCCCCGACGUCGCAACACCAGAUCUCUGCCAAAGCCGAGAGACCGCCGUCGCUGCCCUGUCACCUCCACCGUUUGUCGCCUCGUCGAGCCGUUGCAGCGAACAGGUAAUAGUAGCCGCCGCCUGUCGCUCCUUCGCCGUCGCACCCACCUCUCUCGAACCCCAUCUACCACCGAAUCUCAGUCUCAGCAGGUUGGAGCCUCCCCCCCGUGUAUUCUGUCGCCGUGCCGUAGGUCCCAUCGUCGAUCCAGUCAAGCGGCCGGCUGCAGGCUGCUAUGUCGCCGUCGUCGGACGCCGGGCUGCCGCUCGAUUGUCCCCCCAAACCCAUCGAUCAGCGUCGCAGGUAGACGGAAGGAGAGAGGGUCGCGAAACCGGGUUGAGCCCGGGUCGGGCG